rnacentral:rRNA from 1 species
CAACGCCGCGUGGAGGAUGAAGACCCUUGGGUCGUAAACUCCUUUCGAUCGGGACGAUAAUGACGGUACCGGAAGAAGAAGCCCCGGCUAACUUCGUGC